rnacentral:rRNA from 1 species
UACGUAGGGUGCAAGCGUUGUCCGGAAUUAUUGGGCGUAAAGCGCACGUAGGCGGAUUUUUAAGUCAGGGGUGAAAUCCUGGAGCUCAACUCCAGAACUGCCUUUGAUACUGGGAAUCUCGAGUCCGGAAGAGGUGAGUGGAACUGCGAGUGUAGAGGUGAAAUUCGUAGAUAUUCGCAAGAACACCAGUGGCGAAGGCGGCUCACUGGUCCGGUACUGACGCUGAGGUGCGAAAGCGUGGGGAGCAAACAGG